UUGGUGGGGUGAUGGCCUACCAAGGCGACGACGGAUAGCCGGCCUGAGAGGGUGACCGGCCACACUGGGACUGAGACACGGCCCAGACUCCUACGGGAGGCAGCAGUGGGGAAUAUUGCGCAAUGGGCGAAAGCCUGACGCAGCGACGCCGCGUGGGGGAUGAAGGCCUUCGGGUUGUAAACCUCUUUCACCACCGACGAAGCUAACGUGACGGUAGGUGGGGAAGAAGCGCCGGCUAACUACGUGCCAGCAGCCGCGGUAAUACGUAGGGCGCAAGCGUUGUCCGGAAUUAUUGGGCGUAAAGAGCUCGUAGGCGGUCUGUCACGUCUGCCGUGAAAACCCGAGGCUUAACCUCGUGGCUUGCGGUGGAUACGGGCAGACUAGAGGUAGGUAGGGGAGAACGGAAUUCCCGGUGUAGCGGUGAAAUGCGCAGAUAUCGGGAGGAACACCGGUGGCGAAGGCGGUUCUCUGGGCCUUACCUGACGCUGAGGAGCGAAAGCAUGGGGAGCGAACAGGAUUAGAUACCCUGGUAGUCCAUGCCGUAAACGUUGGGCGCUAGGUGUGGGGUCCUUCCACGGAUUCCGUGCCGUAGCUAACGCAUUAAGCGCCCCGCCUGGGGAGUACGG
rnacentral:rRNA from 1 species